rnacentral:tRNA from 1 species
AGUUAUGAAGUAAAAUUUACAUAUAGUUUCGACCUAUAAAUUUGAGAAAAAUACCUUCUCCAUACUUA